GACGAACGCUGGCGGCGUGCUUAACACAUGCCAGUCGAACGGGAUUUAGUAAACGGAAGCCUCGGUGGAAGAUUACUAAUGAGAGUGGCGAACGGGUGAGUAACGCGUGAGCAACCUGCCUAUGACAGUGGGAUAGCCUCGGGAAACCGGGAUUAAUACCGCAUAAAAUCGUAGAAACACAUGUUUCAACGGUCAAAGAUUUAUCGGUCAUAGAUGGGCUCGCGUCUGAUUAGCUAGUUGGUGAGAUAACAGCCCACCAAGGCGACGAUCAGUAGCCGGUCUGAGAGGAUGAACGGCCACAUUGGAACUGAGACACGGUCCAAACUCCUACGGGAGGCAGCAGUGGGGAAUAUUGCACAAUGGGGGAAACCCUGAUGCAGCGACGCCGCGUGAACGAAGAAGGUAUUCGUAUCGUAAAGUUCUGUCCUAUGGGAAGAUAAUGACAGUACCAUAGAAGAAAGCUCCGGCUAAAUACGUG
rnacentral:rRNA from 1 species